GACCGGGUGCAAGGCGCGCAUUUGGUGUUGUCAAUUUGGUGUGGUUACUUGAUCUCAUCAGGGACAAUUCUAGCCUUCAUUUUGUAUUUCUUUCAAGGUAAGGCUUUCUUAAAACUGAUUGCAAGCCACCAACAGUUCGAGUUCUGCCUUCGAAGAGCAUUUGCCUAUUUUUCCCCUCGACAAACCCACAUUAUAUGGAAGAUUUUUUUCAAAUCUAAGAAGAAAAAAAGAUGUCAAAGGUUAUAGGGCUAAGAUUGUUACAAAUCAAGGAAAGAGCUGGAGAACUGUGAGUUAACCCAAUCUUUUAGUGCCAGCUCAACCCAGUUGAAAGUUAUGAUGAUACCUUGUGCUAUACCCUCAACUGGACAAAGCUAAGGGAAUAAAAUUCUAAACAUGACACUAGGGUGACAGUAGGCUAUAUGUGUGACGAAUUCUUUGACAAACUUCAUGUGAUGCAUUGAUGUUUCAAACCAUUAAAUGAAAAUUUUUACUUAUCAUCGGGCGAGUUAUGUGCCCGAGAAAACAUAGACUGUCACCAUUGUGAAGUACUGCUGAGAAAAAAACUUUCCUUUUUCUAAAUCUAUGAAUUAAUAUUGAAUUAUUUAAUAAAACAAUGCAAGUAAUGUAAAUACACACAAAAGGAAAACGUAAUGAAGUAAUUUGUAUUAUUUUAUUGUUAGAGGCACUCUGACAUCUU